GUGGGGAAUAUUGGGCAAUGGGGGCAACCCUGACCCAGCGACGCCGCGUGGGUGAAGAAAUCCCUCGGGAUGUAAAGCCCUGUUGUAUGGGAAGAGCAGAAGACGGUACCAUACGAGGAAGCCCCGGCAAACUACGUGCCAGCAGCCGCGGCAAUACGUAGGGGGCAAGCGUUGUCCGGAAUUACUGGGCGUAAAGCGCACGCAGGCUGAAUUAUAAGUCGGUAGUCAAAUACGGAGGCUCAACUUCCGGAUAUCUAUCGAUACUGUAAAUCUAGAGUAUGUGAGAGGGAAGCGGAGUUCCCGGUGUAGCGGUGAAAUGCGUAGAUAUCGGGAGGAACACCAGUGGCGAAGGCGGCUUCCUGGCACAAUACUGACGCUCAUGUGCGAAAGCUAGGGCAGCGAACGGGAUUAGAAACCCUUGUAGUCC
rnacentral:rRNA from 1 species